rnacentral:rRNA from 1 species
CAUGGCUGUCGUCAGCUCCGUGUCGUGAGAUGUUGGGUUAAGUCCGUACGAGCGCAACCCUUGUCCUUAGUUACCAGCACGUUAUGGUGGGCACUCUAAGGAGACUGCCGGUGACAACCGGAGGAAGGUGGGGAUGACGUCAAGUCAUCAUGGCCCUUACGGCCUGGGCUACACACGUGCUACAAUGGUCGGUACAAAGGGUUGCCAAGCCGCGAGGUGGAGCUAAUCCCAUAAAACCGAUCGUAGUCCGGAUCGCAGUCUGCAACUCGACUGCGUGAAGUCGGAAUCGCUAGUAAUCGUGAAUCAGAAUGUCACGGUGAAUACGUUCCCGGGCCUU